rnacentral:rRNA from 1 species
GUAGUGAAAAGCGAAGGAGCCGCUGGCCCUUCUGAAACAAGGAGCGAGGAGCCUGCCCCUCCCGUCUCCACGAGUUCGCCUCAGUC